CCAAUAGCGUAUAUUAAAGUUGUUGUGGUUAAAAAGCUCGUAGUUGAACCUUGGGCCUGGCUGGCCGGUCCGCCUCACCGCGUGUACUGGUCCGGCCGGGCCUUUCCCUCUGUGGAACCCCAUGCCCUUCACUGGGUGUGGUGGGGAAACAGGACUUUUACUGUGAAAAAAUUAGAGUGCUCCAGGCAGGCCUAUGCUCGAAUACAUUAGCAUGGAAUAAUAGAAUAGGACGUGUGGUUCUAUUUUGUUGGUUUCUAGGACCGCCGUAAUGAUUAAUAGGGACAGUCGGGGGCAUCAGUAUUCAAUUGUCAGAGGUGAAAUUCUUGGAUUUAUUGAAGACUAACUACUGCGAAAGCAUUUGCCAAGGAUGUUUUCAUUAAUCAGGAACGAAAGUUAGGGGAUCGAAGACGAUCAGAUACCGUCGUAGUCUUAACCAUAAACUAUGCCGACUAGGAAUCAGACGAUGUUAAUUUUUUAAUGACUCGUUUGGCACCUUACG
rnacentral:misc_RNA from 1 species